rnacentral:rRNA from 1 species
UACGUAGGUGACGAGCGUUGUCCGGAAUUACUGGGCGUAAAGGGCGCGUAGGCGGCCCGUCAAGUCCCGUGUGAAAGCCCCCGGCUCAACCGGGGAACUGCACGGGAAACUAGCAGGCUUGAGUUCGGGAGAGGGAAGCGGAAUUUCGGGUGUAGCGGUGAAAUGCGCAGAUAUCCGAAGGAACACCGGUGGCGAAGGCGGCUUCCUGGACCGACACUGACGCUAAGGCGCGAAAGCGUGGGGAGCGAACAGG